CCAAAGUCCUUUUCUAUAUUAUCCCUCAGUUCUUUCUAAAGCCUAGUCCCAUACUGGUGAAUCCCUCUGAUGUCUAUUUCCCAAUGCUUGCCUUCAGCAGAAUUGUAACUUCCCCAAGAUAAGCAGCGCCAGAGCUAUUUCCAGAUCUCAAGGUGUGCACUGAAAUGACAGAGAAAUGUUUCUGCAGGAUCCCGAAAUAUCCAUCAGUACACAAGUGCCUCGGGCGCUGCUUGUUUUUAUACGCAUCGCAUUAAGCGCGGCUUUGAGUAAUUACUGCACAUCAACUUACACGUCAAAGAAAGUCUAUGCCGGAUCACAGGGUACCCUUUUAAAAACAAGAACAAACAUGGAUUCAAGGGUGAACAGCUUACAUGUUUUGGAACAAGUCGUUGGUCACAGCUUGGGCUAUGACCAAGGGCUCUUUCAAAGUCGUGUAUGUUUGUGGACAUCGCUCUUUGGAGUUAACGUGGACACCUACCUGUGAAAAUUAAAGGCAAUGAACUGAUCUGGCAGGUCAAUAAAACCUUACGAAUCACAUGUGACAUAAUCACAUACAGCAGCAACCCAGUAAUUGGCUGAGCAGGCACUUAUUGGAAUGGAUGUGGUGAAG